ensembl:lncRNA
GGCGACCGCCGAUCGACCGGUGGUAGAUCAUGGAUCAGGGAAACCGAAGGCAGGAGAAGCAGGCGGCUGCCGGUCGGAGCGUGAGGUGAACUGAAUUUCAGAUGGAAGUUAUUUGUUGGUGAAGAGUAUAUAAAGACCUGUGUGAGUGUGUUUCACAUCUGUAUCAAACUCUUCAGCCACUCAUCAUGGACAAAAACACGUUGCUGGUCCUUUUGUGUCUGCAGGCGAUCCUGCUCAUCACGGCCUCGUCUGAGAUGACAGCUGAACAGCCGACACCGACAGAGGAGAUAACUUCUGUACACAGCACGAAGGUGAAAAGCCCAAAUGUUAAACAUCUGAAAAAAUGCCGCGUGACACAAGCAGGAUGUCGACAACACCACUCAAAAGCACAGCAGAGGUCACACACAAAGCCACAGCCCUACAGACCCAAAGCUCGUAGAGGGAGUCUGGCUCCAAUUUUGCUACAGUAAAGGAAUGAAGUGAAGGAGUGACCACAUCUAGUGGUGAGUCUCCUGCUUUGUUUCUUCUGAAGAAGAUGAAAUAAAAAGAAAAACAGAAACGAAGAUCUUUAAAGAAACUUUUCUUUGCUGUUUGGCAUUGCGUUACAUUUCAGUGCAAUGCAAAUCAUAUGCAGUACUAACUAUAAAAAUCACAAUAUUUCUCAGAUCAGUGGUAUAUAAGAAAUAUGUGUAUGACAUAAAAAGGUUAUUAAGGCACUACAUAAAUGAAUGUAUCUGAUACAAUUAUAAUUUGAUGUUUAUGUUUAUAAGUCAGUUUUUAAUAUGGCCUUAUUCAUUUUACUGGUUUUGAUGGAAUGAAGAACAAGUUUUCAGUCUUCUAUUGUUGUAACUUUGCACUGUAACUGCUAUUGUUUCAUGAAUUUCAGUUUCAAAUAAAGUCACCCAGAGUUAAAGCAUAAAAA